rnacentral:rRNA from 1 species
UACGUAGGGGCAAGCGUUGUCCGGAAUCAUUGGGCGUAAAGCGCGUGUAGGCGGCUUGGUAAGUCCGCUCUGAAAGCCCGGGGCUCAACCCCGGGAGGCGGGUGGAUACUGUCAAGCUCGAGUCCGGAAGAGGCGAGUGGAAUUCCUGGUGUAGCGGUGAAAUGCGCAGAUAUCAGGAGGAACACCAAUAGCGAAGGCAGCUCGCUGGGACGUUACUGACACUGAGGCGCGAAAGCGUGGGGAGCGAACAGG